rnacentral:rRNA from 1 species
GACGAACGCUGGCGGCGUGCUUAACACAUGCAAGUCGAACGGAAAGGCCCUGCUUGCAGGGUACUCGAGUGGCGAACGGGUGAGUAACACGCGGGUGAUCUGCCUUGCACUUCGGGAUAAGUCUGGGAAACUGGGCCUAACACCGGCCAGGAGAUAUUUUUAGUGUGAUGGUUGGAAAGUUUUUUCGGUGUAGGGUGAGCUCGAGGCCUAUCUGCUUGCUGGUGGGGUAAUGGCCUACCAAGGCGGCGUCGCGUAGCCGGCCUGAGAGGGUGGACGGCCACAUUGAGACUGAGAUGCGGCCCAGACUCCGACGGGAGGCAGCAGGGGGAAAGAUUGCACGAGGAGCGCAAGCCUGAUGCAGCGACGCCGCGUGGGGGAUAACGGUCUUCGGGUUGUAAACUCCUUGCGCUAGGGACGAAGCUUUUUGUGACGGUACCUAGAGAAGAAGCACCGGCUAACUACGUG